GCAGGCUGCAACCCGCCUGCGUGAAGUUGGAAUCGCUAGUAAUCGCGGAUCAGCAUGCCGCGGUGAAUACGUUCCCGGGCCUUGUACACGCCGCCCGUCACACCAUGAGAGUCGGGAACACCCGAAGUCCGUAGCCUAACAGCAAUGGGGGCGCGGCCGAAGGUGGGUUCGAUAAUUGGGGUGAAGUCGUAACAAGGUACC
rnacentral:rRNA from 1 species